rnacentral:rRNA from 1 species
UACAGAGGGUGCAAGCGUUAAUCGGAAUUACUGGGCGUAAAGCGUGCGUAGACGGUUACAUAAGUCGGGUGUGAAAGCCCCGGGCUCAACCUGGGAAUUGCAUUCGAGACUGCGUAGCUAGGGUGCGGAAGAGGGAAGCGGAAUUUCCGGUGUAGCGGUGAAAUGCGUAGAUAUCGGGAAGAACACCCGUGGCGAAGGCGGCUCUCUGGGACGGUACUGACGCUGAGACGCGAAAGCGUGGGGAGCGAACAGG